UAAACUGAGAUAAAUAAUCAGCCUUGCAAAACAAAAUCAUGAAUGUAUGAAAACUAGUCCUCUUAGCCUUGAAAAACACCAUGGAGCUCUCAAGAAUACAUCACCCAAACCUCUCUCUCUCGUUAUGUAAAAAAAAAUAUCCUCCUAAAGUGACCCUCCAACUCUCUCUAUUUCCUACAAUCGCUGCCCAUUCCACCAAACAACAGUCUCUAAAAAUUCCCAAAAAUAGAUCCUGACAAAAGCUGCCAAAAGUUGGUGUGUUUUUUGUUGAGUGUGUGCUGCUGCUAGGUCUUGAUUAUGUUGUGUCUGGUGAUGUUGCAUUAAUGCCCAACCCUAGCUCAACUUCG
rnacentral:lncRNA from 1 species